CAGUAGCCACGGGAAUACGAAGGGGGCUAGCGUUGUUCGGAAUUACUGGGCGUAAAGGGCGCGUAGGCGGCCAUUCAAGUUAGAUGUGAAAGCCCUGGGCUUAACCUAGGAAUUGCAUUUGAUACUGUUUGGCUUGAGUUCGGGAGAGGUGAGUGGAAUUCCCAGUGUAGAGGUGAAAUUCGUAGAUAUUGGGAAGAACACCAGUGGCGAAGGCAGCUCACUGGACCGACACUGACGCUGAGGCGCGAAAGCGUGGGGAGCAAACAGGAUUAGAUACCCCUGUAGUCCCGUCUCUUAUACC
rnacentral:rRNA from 1 species